UGGGGAAUUUUGGACAAUGGGCGAAAGCCUGAUCCAGCAAUGCCGCGUGUGUGAAGAAGGCCUUCGGGUUGUAAAGCACUUUUGUCCGGAAAGAAAUCCUUGGCUCUAAUACAGUCGGGGGAUGACGGUACCGGAAGAAUAAGCACCGGCUAACUACGUGCCAGCAGCCGCGGUAAUACGUAGGGUGCAAGCGUUAAUCGGAAUUACUGGGCGUAAAGCGUGCGCAGGCGGUUUGCUAAGACCGAUGUGAAAUCCCCGGGCUCAACCUGGGAACUGCAUUGGUGACUGGCAGGCUAGAGUAUGGCAGAGGGGGGUUAGAAUUCCACGUGUAGCAGUGAAAUGCGUAGAGAUGUGGAGGAAUACCGAUGGCGAAGGCAGCCCCCUGGGCCAAUACUGACGCUCAUGCACGAAAGCGUGGGGAGCAAACAGGAUUAGAUACCCUGGUAGUCCACGCCCUAAACGAUGUCAACUAGUUGUUGGGGAUUCAUUUCCUUAGUAACGUAGCUAACGCGUGAAGUUGACCGCCUGGGGAGUACGGUCGCAAGAUUAAAA
rnacentral:rRNA from 1 species